rnacentral:rRNA from 1 species
GGCAGUCAGAGGCGAUGAAGGACGUGCUAAUCUGCGAUAAGCGUCGGUAAGGUGAUAUGAACCGUUAUAACCGGCGAUUUCCGAAUGGGGAAACCCAGUGUGAUUCGUCACACUAUCAUUAACUGAAUCCAUAGGUUAAUGAGGCGAACCGGGGGAACUGAAACAUCUAAGUACCCCGAGGAAAAGAAAUCAACCGAGAUUCCCCCAGUAGCGGCGAGCGAACGGGGAGCAGCCCAGAGCCUGAAUCAGUGUGUGUGUUAGUGGAAGCGUCUGGAAAGGCGCGCGAUACAGGGUGACAGCCCCGUACACAAAAAUGCACAUGCUGUGAGCUCGAUGAGUAGGGCGGGACACGUGGUAUCCUGUCUGAAUAUGGGGGGACCAUCCUCCAAGGCUAAAUACUCCUGACUGACCGAUAGUGAACCAGUACCGUGAGGGAAAGGCGAAAAGAACCCCGGCGAGGGGAGUGAAAAAGAACCUGAAACCGUGUACGUACAAGCAGUGGGAGCCUCUUUAUGGGGUGACUGCGUACCUUUUGUAUAAUGGGUCAGCGACUUAUAUUCUGUAGCAAGGUUAACCGAAUAGGGGAGCCGAAGGGAAACCGAGUCUUAACUGGGCGUUAAGUUGCAGGGUAUAGACCCGAAACCCGGUGAUCUAGCCAUGGGCAGGUUGAAGGUUGGGUAACACUAACUGGAGGACCGAACCGACUAAUGUUGAAAAAUUAGCGGAUGACUUGUGGCUGGGGGUGAAAGGCCAAUCAAACCGGGAGAUAGCUGGUUCUCCCCGAAAGCUAUUUAGGUAGCGCCUCGUGAACUCAUCUCCGGGGGUAGAGCACUGUUUCGGCAAGGGGGUCAUCCCGACUUACCAACCCGAUGCAAACUGCGAAUACCGGAGAAUGUUAUCACGGGAGACACACGGCGGGUGCUAACGUCCGUCGUGAAGAGGGAAACAACCCAGACCGCCAGCUAAGGUCCCAAAGUCAUGGUUAAGUGGGAAACGAUGUGGGAAGGCCCAGACAGCCAGGAUGUUGGCUUAGAAGCAGCCAUCAUUUAAAGAAAGCGUAAUAGCUCACUGGUCGAGUCGGCCUGCGCGGAAGAUGUAACGGGGCUAAACCAUGCACCGAAGCUGCGGCAGCGACGCUGAUGCGUUGUUGGGUAGGGGAGCGUUCUGUAAGCCUGUGAAGGUGUGCUGUGAGGCAUGCUGGAGGUAUCAGAAGUGCGAAUGCUGACAUAAGUAACGAUAAAGCGGGUGAAAAGCCCGCUCGCCGGAAGACCAAGGGUUCCUGUCCAACGUUAAUCGGGGCAGGGUGAGUCGACCCCUAAGGCGAGGCCGAAAGGCGUAGUCGAUGGGAAACAGGUUAAUAUUCCUGUACUUGGUGUUACUGCGAAGGGGGGACGGAGAAGGCUAUGUUGGCCGGGCGACGGUUGUCCCGGUUUAAGCGUGUAGGCUGGUUUUCCAGGCAAAUCCGGAAAAUCAAGGCUGAGGCGUGAUGACGAGGCACUACGGUGCUGAAGCAACAAAUGCCCUGCUUCCAGGAAAAGCCUCUAAGCAUCAGGUAACAUCAAAUCGUACCCCAAACCGACACAGGUGGUCAGGUAGAGAAUACCAAGGCGCUUGAGAGAACUCGGGUGAAGGAACUAGGCAAAAUGGUGCCGUAACUUCGGGAGAAGGCACGCUGAUAUGUAGGUGAAGUCCCUCGCGGAUGGAGCUGAAAUCAGUCGAAGAUACCAGCUGGCUGCAACUGUUUAUUAAAAACACAGCACUGUGCAAACACGAAAGUGGACGUAUACGGUGUGACGCCUGCCCGGUGCCGGAAGGUUAAUUGAUGGGGUCAGCGCAAGCGAAGCUCUUGAUCGAAGCCCCGGUAAACGGCGGCCGUAACUAUAACGGUCCUAAGGUAGCGAAAUUCCUUGUCGGGUAAGUUCCGACCUGCACGAAUGGCGUAAUGAUGGCCAGGCUGUCUCCACCCGAGACUCAGUGAAAUUGAACUCGCUGUGAAGAUGCAGUGUACCCGCGGCAAGACGGAAAGACCCCGUGAACCUUUACUAUAGCUUGACACUGAACAUUGAGCCUUGAUGUGUAGGAUAGGUGGGAGGCUUAGAAGUGUGGACGCCAGUCUGCAUGGAGCCGACCUUGAAAUACCACCCUUUAAUGUUUGAUGUUCUAACGUUGACCCGUAAUCCGGGUUGCGGACAGUGUCUGGUGGGUAGUUUGACUGGGGCGGUCUCCUCCUAAAGAGUAACGGAGGAGCACGAAGGUUGGCUAAUCCUGGUCGGACAUCAGGAGGUUAGUGCAAUGGCAUAAGCCAGCUUGACUGCGAGCGUGACGGCGCGAGCAGGUGCGAAAGCAGGUCAUAGUGAUCCGGUGGUUCUGAAUGGAAGGGCCAUCGCUCAACGGAUAAAAGGUACUCCGGGGAUAACAGGCUGAUACCGCCCAAGAGUUCAUAUCGACGGCGGUGUUUGGCACCUCGAUGUCGGCUCAUCACAUCCUGGGGCUGAAGUAGGUCCCAAGGGUAUGGCUGUUCGCCAUUUAAAGUGGUACGCGAGCUGGGUUUAGAACGUCGUGAGACAGUUCGGUCCCUAUCUGCCGUGGGCGCUGGAGAACUGAGGGGGGCUGCUCCUAGUACGAGAGGACCGGAGUGGACGCAUCACUGGUGUUCGGGUUGUCAUGCCAAUGGCACUGCCCGGUAGCUAAAUGCGGAAGAGAUAAGUGCUGAAAGCAUCUAAGCACGAAACUUGCCCCGAGAUGAGUUCUCCCUGACCCUUUAAGGGUCCUGAAGGAACGUUGAAGACGACGACGUUGAUAGGCCGGGUGUGUAAGCGCAGCGAUGCGUUGAGCUAACCGGUACUAAUGAACCGUGAGGCUUAACCUU